CAGGAUUAGAUACCCUGGUAGUCCAUGCCGUAAACGUUGGGCACUAGGUGUGGGGACCAUUCCACGGUUUCCGCGCCGCAGCUAACGCAUUAAGUGCCCCGCCUGGGGAGUACGGCCGCAAGGCUAAAACUCAAAGGAAUUGACGGGGGCCCGCACAAGCGGCGGAGCAUGCGGAUUAAUUCGAUGCAACGCGAAGAACCUUACCAAGGCUUGACAUGUUCUCGAUCGCCGUAGAGAUACGGUUUCCCCUUUGGGGCGGGUUCACAGGUGGUGCAUGGUUGUCGUCAGCUCGUGUCGUGAGAUGUUGGGUUAAGUCCCGCAACGAGCGCAACCCUCGUUCCAUGUUGCCAGCACGUAAUGGUGGGGACUCAUGGGAGACUGCCGGGGUCAACUCGGAGGAAGGUGAGGACGACGUCAAAUCAUCAUGCCCCUUAUGUCUUGGGCUUCACGCAUGCUACAAUGGCCGGUACAAUGGGUUGCGAUACUGUGAGGUGGAGCUAAUCCCAAAAAGCCGGUCUCAGUUCGGAUUGGGGUCUGCAACUCGACCCCAUGAAGUCGGAGUCGCUAGUAAUCGCAGAUCAGCAACGCUGCGGUGAAUACGUUCCCGGGCCUUGUACACACCGCCCGUCAAGUCACGAAAGUUGGUAACACCCGAAGCCGGUGGCCUAACCCUUGUGGGGGGAGCCGUCGAAGGUGGGACCAGCGAUUGGGACU
rnacentral:rRNA from 1 species